rnacentral:rRNA from 1 species
GACGAACCGUGCGAACGUUGUUCGGAAUCACUGGGCAUAAAGGGCGCGUAGGCGGGCCGUAAAGUCAGGGGUGAAAUCCUCCAGCUUAACUGGAGAACUGCCUUUGAUACUGACGGCCUCGAGUGAGGUAGGGGCGUGCGGAACUGAUGGUGGAGCGGUGAAAUGUGUUGAUAUCAUCAGGAACUCCGGUGGCGAAAGCGGCACGCUGAACCUCUACUGACGCUGAGGCGCGAAAGCCAGGGGAGCAAACGGG